rnacentral:rRNA from 1 species
GAAACCGUAUGCGUACAAGCAGUGGGAGCCCAGCACCUAAAUUGUUUUGGUUGUUGGCUCUGCGAUCUUGUGACACAUUACCGGAUGUUGAUCCGGUGCCUGAGUUUUUGAAUUUAGGUGCUGGGUAAACCCGGUAAGUGACUAGGAUAGUGGAGUAAAACAGGAUGUUUUAUGUUUAUGUUCUAAAUUCAGUGACUAGCGACAAACGUUUUUACAUUGGGAGUACGAAAGACUUGAAAGCACGUCUUGAGUCACAUAACCAAAGUGAAAAUAAGGCGACAAAACACCAUCAGUGGAAGUUGGUGUACUACGAAGCCUACGUCACCGAGUGCGCAGCAAGAAAGCGUGAACAAAUACUGAAACACCACGGAAAGACAAAGCAGGCUUUAAUGAUCAGGAUCAAAGCCAGCUUAGGACAAUGAUGGGCUUGCCCAGCACCUGAAUUCCAACAGGUCGCACGGGGCAAGAAAAACCGCGACUCAAACCAGAGUCGUGACAUCAGCAACCAGAAUAAUUCAGGUGCUGGGUGACUGCGUACCUUUUGUAUAAUGGGUCAGCGACUUACUUCUCAGUGGCAAGGUUAACCGUAUAGGGGAGCCGUAGCGAAAGCGAGUCUUAAUAGGGCGUCAUAGUCGCUGGGAGUAGACCCGAAACCGGACGAUCUAUCCAUGGCCAGGUUGAAGGUGGGGUAAUACCCACUGGAGGACCGAACCAACUGAUGUUGAAAAAUCAGUGGAUGAGCUGUGGAUAGGAGUGAAAGGCUAAACAAGUCCGGAGAUAGCUGGUUCUCCCCGAAAGCUAUUUAGGUAGCGCCUCGUGUAUCACUCUCGGGGGUAGAGCACUGUUAUGGCUAGGGGGCCACCUCGGCUUACCAAACCAUUGCAAACUCCGAAUACCGAGAAGUGCAAUCACGGGAGACAGACUGCGGGUGAUAACGUUCGUAGUCGAGAGGGAAACAACCCAGACCGCCAGCUAAGGUCCCUAAAUCACAGCUCAGUGGGAAACGAUGUGGGAAGGCCCAGACAGCCAGGAGGUUGGCUUAGAAGCAGCCAUCCUUUAAAGAAAGCGUAACAGCUCACUGGUCGAGUCGGCCUGCGCGGAAGAUGUACCGGGGCUAAGCUGUGUACCGAAGCUGCGGAUGCAUGAUUUCUUCGGAAAUCACGCAUGGUAGGGGAGCGUUCUGUACGCCUGUGAAGGUGUGCCGUAAGGCAUGCUGGAGGUAUCAGAAGUGAGAAUGCUGACAUAAGUAGCGAUAAUGGGGGUGAAAAACCCCCACGCCGAAAGCCCAAGGUUUCCUGCGCAACGUUAAUCGGCGCAGGGUGAGUCGGCCCCUAAGGCGAGGCCGAAAGGCGUAGUCGAUGGGAAUCCGGUUAAUAUUCCGGAACCGCUCGUAACUGCGAUGGGAUGACGGAGAAGGCUAGAUCAUCCGGGCGUUGGAUGUCCCGGUUUAAGCGUGUAGGGAGUGUUCUUAGGAAAAUCCGGGGACACAAUCCCAAGGCGUGAUGACGAGUAGCUCUUCGGAGCCGCGAAGUGGUUGAUGCCAUGCUUCCAAGAAAAGUCUCUAAGCUUCAGGUUACGGGUGACCGUACCCCAAACCGACACAGGUGGGCGAGGCGAGAAGCCUAAGGCGCUUGAGAGAACCCAGGUGAAGGAACUCGGCAAAAUAACACCGUAACUUCGGGAGAAGGUGUGCCCUCACACCGUGAAAGCCCUCGCGGCUGGAGCGGAAGGGGGUUGCAACAAAGAGGUGGCUGCGACUGUUUAUUAAAAACAUAGCACUCUGCAAACUCGUAAGAGGACGUAUAGGGUGUGACGCCUGCCCGGUGCCGGAAGGUUAAGUGAUGGGGUUAUCCCUCGGGAGAAGCUCUUGACCGAAGCCCCGGUGAACGGCGGCCGUAACUAUAGAUAGAUGUUUCUCAUUUUUAAUAACAGUAAGCCUUAUGGACGUAACUGUAGUUACGAAAAUAAACUUGGCUAUAUGCUGGAAACUCCGAGUAUCUGACAGUACUCAGGAAAAAUGGGGUCUGACCCCUAUUUCCAAGUAACAAUCUGUUCAGUGCGGACAAUCAGCAGGAAAGAUUCCUGAUAAGUGACAAUGAGUUUUAACCCCAAGAAUGUACCGCCGCAUAUUGGCUAUUAUCUGGCCGGUUUUGCGGAUGGCGAAGGCAGUUUUAACGUAUCUUUCCGGAAGCGGGGAGACUACAAAAUGCCUUGGAAGGUAUCGCUUUGUUUCAAUGUAUCUCAAAAAGACAAAGUAAUACUUGCCCUGUUCAAACGACAUUUAAAAUGUGGAAGUUUGAGAUCCAGGAUGGACGGCGUGUGGUACUUCGAGGUAAACAACUUUAUUGCACUGACCGAGAACGUAAUUCCCUUUUUUCGCCAGUAUGGUUUUUUGUCCGCUAAGAAGAAGCGUGAUUUUUCAAAAUUCAGGAAGAUCGCAAAACUGAUUGGCGACAAAGAACAUUUAAGCGAAGAGGGGAUCAGACGAAUACUGGAAGUUCGUCAGGAAAUGAACGAUGGAGGCGCUCAGCGACGCAAGUAUAGCGAUAGGAAAAUUCUCGGUGAAUUUUCAGGAAAAUCCCCAGAGACUAAUAUGCCAGGCAACGACUGAUUCUAAAAAUGUCAGGCGUUGAAGAUAGAGUCCGAUCUCUAUAGCGAUAUAGAGGGUUUGAUUCCAAACCGCACAUGGCGAUAUUUGCCAGGUGUUAACAUGAAUGAACGGUCCUAAGGUAGCGAAAUUCCUUGUCGGGUAAGUUCCG